GACGGAGGGUGCAAACGUUGUUCGGAAUCACUGGGCGUAAAGGGCGCGUAGGCGGACUUGUAAGUCGGGCGUGAAAUCCCUGGGCUCAACCCAGGAACUGCACUCGAAACUACUUUUCUUGAGUGCCGGAGAGGAAAGCGGAAUUCCUGGUGUAGAGGUGAAAUUCGUAGAUAUCAGGAGGAACACCAGUGGCGAAAGCGGCUCACUGGCCCGGUUCUGACGCUGAGGCGCGAAAGCGUGGGGAGCAAACAGG
rnacentral:rRNA from 1 species